ACCACGAUUAUCCUUGUGGUCAAAUCGUGC
rnacentral:piRNA from 1 species